UAGAAUUUAAUGUUAUAUGAUAUUUAGCAUUCAUAAUCUACAGUUGAUGUUGCUAGUGCUGCUGCUAUUUCUGCAAAUUAUAGUAUUUCUUUUGUAAAAAAAAGAACAUGAAAAAUCUACCAUCAUCACCUUGCGAAUAUUUUAAAAAAAUGGCGCAAAACAAAGGGUUUCUUUAAAGAAGAGGACUUCUCCUGCUGAAUGCUCCACAAGCUCUCUAAGGAUCCUUUCAGAAUUCUAAUGCCGGGCCUGGCCCUUAUUUGACUGUGUAUUUAAUAACUGCUGUUGCUGUUGAGAGUUGGUACAAUUUUCUCAAAGGAAUUUUCCAUCUCUGAAAGGAUCCAUUCAGAAUUCUAAAGCCGUCUCUUAUUUGACUGUGUAUUUAAUAACUGCAGUUGCUGCUGUUGCGAGUUGGUACAAUUUUCUAAAAG